GUCUAAAUAAGACUAAGGUACUAGAGUCAUCGAGGGGGAUGGGACUUAGGCUAUAAUAGACCUUCCAGCAGUAGGAAUCCAACAUCUGUGAUAGAAGUUUCCUUGAAGGAGGUUCAAUGUGAUAAUAAUAAGCUAAUUAGCUGGCCAGAGAGCAUAUAUUUUUAUAUGUAUAUAAGAGUUUUCACUCCAUCCCAUCUCUGUGGUGAUUAGUACUCCUAUGUUGAUGU
rnacentral:lncRNA from 1 species